ensembl:miRNA tgu-mir-2973 tgu-mir-2973
AAUUCAGAAGCAUGGGAUAAUCGGAACAAGGCACUGAAGUAGGAAUACUUGUUCCGAUUAUCCCAUGCUUCUGAAUU